UACGUAGGGUGCAAGCGUUGUCCGGAAUUAUUGGGCGUAAAGAGCUCGUAGGCGGUUUGUUGCGUCGGCUGUGAAAACCUGAGGCUCAACCUCAGGCCUGCAGUCGAUACGAGCAGACUAGAGUGUUGCAGGGGAGACUGGAAUUCCUGGUGUAGCGGUGAAAUGCGCAGAUAUCAGGAGGAACACCGGUGGCGAAGGCGGGUCUCUGGGCAACAACUGACGCUGAGGAGCGAAAGCGUGGGGAGCGAACAGGAUUAGAUACCCUG
rnacentral:rRNA from 1 species